rnacentral:tRNA from 1 species
GGGAAUGUGGCUUAGUGGUAGAGUGCUUGCCUAGCAUGCAUGAAACCCUGGGUUCGAUUCCUCAGUGCCA